rnacentral:rRNA from 1 species
GCUUAACACAUGCAAGUCGAGGGGCAGCAUGGUCUUAGCUUGCUAAGGCUGAUGGCGACCGGCGCACGGGUGAGUAACACGUAUCCAACCUGCCGUCUACUCUUGGCCAGCCUUCUGAAAGGAAGAUUAAUCCAGGAUGGCAUCAUGAGUUCACAUGUCCGCAUGAUUAAAGGUAUUUUCCGGUAGACGAUGGGGAUGCGUUCCAUUAGAUAGUAGGCGGGGUAACGGCCCACCUAGUCAACGAUGGAUAGGGGUUCUGAGAGGAAGGUCCCCCACAUUGGAACUGAGACACGGUCCAGACUCCUACGGGAGGCAGCAGUGAGGAAUAUUGGUCAAUGGGCGAUGGCCUGAACCAGCCAAGUAGCGUGAAGGAUGACGG